GUCAAAGAAUCCAAAUGCUUUGAGCUCUGUGUGUUGGGUCCUGGCUAAAGGUCUAGCCAGCCACCGUGGAAGACAGACUGUGUGCUUGGAGCAGGAGACUGUUAGUCAGGACUCCUGGAUCCAAUCCUUGUUCUGCCCGACUGUGAGCUACUGAGGAUGCAGAAGUCCCACAAUCACCUUUUGGCGUCAUGGAGAGUUAUGGCUGCUCAGAUAUCUCAGGAUCAUGAAUAAGAAGAGCCUAAGACUAACAAAAAAAAAAAAAAAGGAAAGGAAAGGCACAAAUGAAAAGACAGGCGGGAAAAAGAUUUCUUUCUGACUCUGUACUGCAGAGCUCUCUGCUUCACUGGUUUUGGCUCAGGACACAAGUCUCAGAAGACUUCUGGUGAGCACGAGAGACAAGCCCUCCAAGUUCAUAUGUUCUGGAAGAGUUUAACUGUUGUCAAUUCAAGACGGCCUUGUGCAGCGCCAUCUAAACCACUCAUUCACUGUUAAAAUGAGCUCUCUCCUUCCCAUUCAUCAAGGUACUGGAACAGGAUAUUCAAGUGGGUUCACAGAGGUACCGGUACAUGGUCUCCAAAUGGGCCCUCAAUGGGCCAAAUAUUUUGAAUUGUAUUAGUUUUCAUACUGGCCUGUCUUACAGAAGCUGAGCAGGAGGGAUUCAGUCAUGGUAUCUUCACAGAAGCAGAAUUACAGAGUAAUUAUCCCUCUCGGAUAUAAAUAAAUUAGAGUGAUAAAAAGGGACGAUCCUAGUUAAAUCUAGUUGCAAUUUUCCAACAUGCAUCAACUUCCCCCAACUGAAAAUCAAAAAAAUUUAGCCAAUGUUUUUUGUGUAUUUUAUUCUGUUCCAAUCAUAGCAAGACUGCAGGACAGCAGUAUGUUUGCAUCUGUAAUGAAGGACACUUGAAUUGUAUGAUUAAACCAAACUGGUCCUAUAUGUUUUUUUUUUCCUGUGUGGAAUGCCAUUAUUUCAAUAUUUUUAUUAAAAAAAAGAAAACAAAUGAGUCAUGCAAUGCAGUGAACACAAUCUAAUGAAAAGAAUAUAUAGCUCCACCUUUCUUUUCGCAAUCAACCUGAGAAAACAAUUCAGCUUAUUAAUGUCCAUCAUUUUGGCAUUUUCAGAUGCUUUGUUUUAAAGAUGACAAUCAGACACGCAGAACUAACGUUUUCCUCCAGUCAUUCAGUCACUUAUUUCUUUUGUGUGGGUUUUUGCUUAUUUGUUUGUUUUUGUUUUUAAAGGGGGGCAGCUGCUUUGUGAUCAGCCAAAUGUCAAAAAUCAUUCUUAUCAUAACAAAGCAGAAAAUAAAAUAUUCCAGGUAGCCCAUUGUCAUGGACGUUCUUUAAAAUCACAAAGGGGUAAGAUCUUUAUCUCCAUUCACAUGGGUUAACUUUCAUUAAAGUUAAUGGGAAUUGCACCCCUGCGUCAAAGAAAAUACACCUAGUGCUCUGCCUCUUCUUUUUAGCUUUAGCAUCCAAGGAAGAAACUAUAUAAAGGUGAACUUAUUUAGUGAUCAUCAGCUUCCUCUGGAACACAGGAGUGAUUUUGGAGGUCCUCGGGAUUUUCUCAUUGGCAUUACUCAUGUGCUUCAGUGCUUUUAUAAAUCAGGCACUUACAUUCAAACACAUUAGCCAAACGUCCAGUUUGCAAAGGAAAUACCUAAAGCCCAGUAAGGAUUUCAGUUUGGAAAUCUAGAGGUUAAUUGACAUCUCAGUGACCUCAUAUCCGCAGUAAAAACUUUCAACAUGAAAAAUGUAAUCUCUGUAAAUAUUGUAAUUAAAGACAAAGUUGUUUUCACAAUUGUCGGGAAAAAAGAUUGUAAAAUUACCCAGGAGGGAAGAAAUUAAAGCAAACAGAUCUAUAGGAAAAUACUCUCAUGUUAAAUAUCAAACUAAAAUAAAAACUGCCUAUGAAAAAUUCACAAAUAAACACUCAUAAUGCAUUUGCAAAUGUAUUAUCCUCUCAGGUUUCAUAAUUCUGUGAGAGUGCGAUUACUUAACAGUGGUGCUGUUAUAAAAUUACACAUAGUGGCUGGCAGGUUUUGAAACUACUCCAGAAACCAAAGUCUGACAUUACACAA